CAAGUCCUCAUGGCCCAUUUACGCCCAGGGUUGCAAACGUGCUACAAUGGCGCGUACAAAGCGACGCGAAGCCGCGAGGCGGAGCAAAUCGCAAAAAACGCGCCCCAGUUCGGAUUGCAGGCUGCAACUCGCCUGCAUGAAGCCGGAAUCGCUAGUAAUCGUGGAUCAGCUACGCCACGGUGAAUACGUUCCUGAGCCUU
rnacentral:rRNA from 1 species